ACGGGACUCUUCGGAGUUCAGUGGCGGACGGGUGAGUAACGCGUGAGAAUCUGCCUAGAGGAUGGGGACAACCACGGGAAACUGUGGCUAAUACCCAAUGAGCGGAGACGUUAAAGAUUUAUCGCCUCUAGAGGAGCUCGCGUCUGAUUAGCUAGUUGGUGGGGUAAAAGCCUACCAAGGCGACGAUCAGUAGCUGGUCUGAGAGGACAACCAGCCACACUGGGACUGAGACACGGCCCAGACUCCUACGGGAGGCAGCAGUGGGGAAUUUUCCGCAAUGGGCGAAAGCCUGACGGAGCAAUACCGCGUGAGGGAGGAAGGCUCUUGGGUCGUAAACCUCUUUUCUCAGGGAAGAAGAAAGUGACGGUACCUGAGGAAUCAGCCUCGGCUAACUCCGUGCCAGCAGCCGCGGUAAUACGGAGGAGGCAAGCGUUAUCCGGAAUUAUUGGGCGUAAAGCGUCCGUAGGUGGCUCUUCAAGUCUGCUGUCAAAGAGUGGGGCUUAACUCCAGAAAGGCAGUGGAAACUGAAAGGCUAGAGAGCCGUAGGGGUAGAGGGAAUUCCCGGUGUAGCGGUGAAAUGCGUAGAGAUCGGGAAGAACAUCGGUGGCGAAAGCGCUCUACUGGACGGUAUCUGACACUGAGGGACGAAAGCUAGGGGAGCGAAUGGGAUUAGAUACCCCAGUAGUCCUAGCCGUAAACGAUGGAUACUAG
rnacentral:rRNA from 1 species